CUUAUCAAUAGGCAAAGAGAGCAGACAAAGGAUAGGUUUUAAAGCAGAUAUGGUUCAGUUAUGGCGUAUUACCUGGGAUUUGGCAAGUGUGGGUGCAUUGUCAGCUAUUUUGUUUGUUCAUUUCCUCUUCAACUGAUGUAGAGGUAGGCAGGCAGCCCAGAAGGCAGUUGCAAUAAGGUUUACAGUCUUAAUUUCAGACUCGCCAGAGGGUUUUUGGUUGAACUGACGCGGGUUUACG
rnacentral:lncRNA from 1 species